GACAGAGGUGCCGAGCGUUAGGCGGAAUCACUGGGCUUAAAGCGUGUGUAGGCGGAUCGUUAAGUACCUUGUGAAAUCCCACGGCUCACCCGUGGAACUGCUGGGUAUACUGGCGGUCUUGGGCCAACUAGGGGCAGCUGGAACAAGCGGUGGAGCGGUGAAAUGCGUAGAUAUCGCUUGGAACGCCGAAGGUGAAAACAGGCUGCUGGGGUUGUGCCGACGCUGAGACACGAAAGCCAGGGGGAGCAAACGGG
rnacentral:rRNA from 1 species